CCUACGGGAGGCAGCAGUGGGGACUAUUGGGCAAUGGAGGCAACUCUGACCCAGCAGCGCCGCGUGAAUGAUGAAGGUCUGCGGAUUGUAAAGUUCUGUGCUGGGGGAUGAAAACAAUGAAGGUACCCCAAUAGCACGCCACGGCUAACUACGUGCCAGCAGCCGCGGUAAUAAGUAGGUGGCAAGCGUUAUCCGGAAUGACUGGGCGUAAAGGGUGCGUAGGUGGUUUAGUAAGUUGGCGGUGUAAUUCCGGGGCUCAACACCGGCGCUACCGCCAAAACUAUUAGACUAGUGUGCAGGAGGGGUAAGUGGAAUGCCUAGUGUAGCGGUGGAAUGCGUAGAUAUUAGGAGGAACAUCAGGGGCGAAGGCGACUUACUGGACUGUAACUGACACGGAGGCACGAAAGCGUGGGGAGCAAACAGGAUUAGAUACCCUGGUAGUC
rnacentral:rRNA from 1 species